rnacentral:rRNA from 1 species
UACGAAGGGGGCUAGCGUUGCUCGGAAUCACUGGGCGUAAAGCGCGCGUAGGCGGCUUCUUAAGUCAGGGGUGAAAUCCUGGAGCUCAACUCCAGAACUGCCUUUGAUACUGAGGAGCUUGAGUCCGGGAGAGGUGAGUGGAACUGCGAGUGUAGAGGUGAAAUUCGUAGAUAUUCGCAAGAACACCAGUGGCGAAGGCGGCUCACUGGCCCGGUACUGACGCUGAGGUGCGAAAGCGUGGGGAGCAAACAGG